AUUGAACGCUGGCGGCAUGCCAUACACAUGCAAGUCGAACGGCAGCACGGGAGCAAUCCUGGUGGCGAGUGGCGAACGGGUGAGUAAAGUAUCGGAACGUGCCCAGUCGUGGGGGAUAACGUAGCGAAAGUUACGCUAAUACCGCAUACGAUCUAUGGAUGAAAGCGGGGGAUCGCAAGACCUCGCGCGAUUGGAGCGGCCGAUAUCAGAGUUAGGUAGUUGGUGGGGUAAAGGCUCACCAAGCCGACGAUCUGUAGCUGGUCUGAGAGGACGACCAGCCACACGGGGACUGAGACACGGCCCAGACUCCGACGGGAGGCAGCAGUGGGGAAUUUUGGACAAUGGGCGAAAGCCUGAUCCAGCCAUGCCGCGUGCAGGAUGAAGGCCUUCGGGUUGUAAACUGCUUUUGUACGGAACGAAAAGGUUUGGCCUAAUAAGCUGAGCUCAUGACGGUACCGUAAGAAUAAGCACCGGCUAACUACGUGCCAGCAGCCGCCGUAA
rnacentral:rRNA from 1 species